UACGUAGGGUGCAAGCGUUAAUCGGAAUUACUGGGCGUAAAGCGUGCGCAGGCGGCUUUGCAAGACAGAUGUGAAAUCCCCGGGCUCAACCUGGGAACUGCAUUUGUGACUGCAUGGCUGGAGUGCGGCAGAGGGGGAUGGAAUUCCGCGUGUAGCAGUGAAAUGCGUAGAUAUUCGCAAGAACACCGGUGGCGAAGGCGGCAUCCUGGACCGACAUUGACGCUGAGGAGCGAAAGCCAGGGGAGCAAACGGG
rnacentral:rRNA from 1 species